CUCAGAGUGGUGUAACGGUAACGCACUCCGUCCGGUGUCUUCGGGCCUUGGGUUGCUGGCGGUCGAUGGGCCGCCGUAAGUCACGGAGAGUUGAAGGCUCGAUUCCUUUCUCUGAGA